rnacentral:rRNA from 1 species
UACGUAGGGUGCGAGCGUUGUCCGGAAUUAUUGGGCGUAAAGAGCUUGUAGGUGGUUUGUCGCGUCUGCUGUGAAAAUCCGAGGCUCAACCUCGGACUUGCAGUGGGUACGGGCAGACUAGAGUGUGGUAGGGGAGACUGGAAUUCCUGGUGUAGCGGUGGAAUGCGCAGAUAUCGGGAAGAACACCCGUGGCGAAGGCGGCUCUCUGGAACGCAACUGGACGCUGAGACGCGAAAAGCGUGGGGAGCAAACAGG